GAGGCUUCAUCAGGUGAGUAAGAUGGGUGCAGCCGUUCGUCUUUCAUGGGCCCCAAGUCCACUCGCCUCCCCGAGACCCCAGCAGAUCGGUGGCAGUCUGUUGGGCCUGUGGUUCAGUCAGUCCCUUUUGUGGCCUGGCCGCAUCUCUUCAACAUACAGCGAUCUGAGUCCUUAUCCUUGAAUGAAGCAGCUCCCCUCCAUGUGAGAACCUGUACAUCCCCUGCCCCGGCCAGCUUUCUUCUGAGUCCUCUUUAAGUUAUGAAGGGCAAGAGGCCGGGAGAAGCAGCAGCCCGCCCUCUGAGGCCUCGACCCGGGUUAUUCUGCCUGGAGUCAUGUGGCUGCUCCAAAGACUGCUACCUCUUCUGAGAUGCAGAGAUCUGUAGAGAACUUCCCAGUCCCUCUGCUACCUGACAAGCGGAAAGCGGUGUGCUAUGGAGACCUUUCUCACCCUGGCUCAGCGGGCAGAGCAUGUGGAGGUGUGGUCUGCUCUGCGCAAGCUCCAUGCCUCCUAGCCAGCUUCCUUCUGGUAGGUUUCUCUACAGUGAGCUGAUGAAGUACAACCACCACACUGCCAAGAACAGCAUAUUCGAGCUGGCCAGGGGAGGAGAGAAGCUCCAGAUAAAAAAGACGGUUUCUUUUCACCUCUACAUCAGCACGGCACCAUGUGGAGAUGGAGCCCUCUUUGACAAAUCCUGCAGUGACCGUGCUGUGG
rnacentral:lncRNA from 1 species